rnacentral:rRNA from 1 species
UUCCAGUUGACAGUUGCUUGCAUUGCUUGUCGUCAGCUCGUCCCGUUGAGUGUUGGGUUAAGUCCCGCAACGAGCGCAACCCCUAUUGCUGUUGCCAUCACAUAUUGUGGCACUCUAGUGAGAUUGCCCGGUCAACCGAGAGAAGUGGGACGACGUCAAGUCAUCAUGACCUUACGUCCAGGGCUACACACGUACUACAAUGAUGGAUACAGAGGGUCGCGAAGCCGCGAGGUCGAGCCAAUCCCAGAAAAUCCAUCCCAGUCCGGAUCGCAGUCUGCAACUCGACUGUGUGAAGUUGGAAUCGCUAGUAAUCCCAGAUCAGCAUGCUGGGGUGAAUACGUUCCCGGGCGUUGUACACACCGCCCGUCACACCACGAAGCAUGUUCUACCCAAA